CCCCUAAAUUGAUUUCCCUCUCCCAAAAUUGAAGGAUCACUUUUACAAUCAAUUAGUUUAUCAUGAGGAGGGAAUAGAGAGAAAGCCGAGAAAUAUGGCAAGUGACGGUACGACGGUGGAUGUUAGCCGAGCAGCCUCAUCAAUCCAAACCUAAACCAGGCGCCACUUGGGGAAUAAACUUCGUGAUGUUUACACCUUUGACACCGGCGAAGAAUUUUAGUGGUAAAUUCUAAUUUCAUUUGUACUAGUUGUGUCUUCAAUUUGAUGUAUAUUUCUUAUCUGUUUUUGAUGGGUCACGUUUACAAUCUUUAUUUAUCGUUUUUCUUCAUUCAUGGCUUUUAACCCUAAUCAUUUUCCCCUCUUUGAAAUCGAUUAUACUUUCUUGCUUUAAUUCUUUUUAUAAGGAAAUUUAUUAUUUUUCUGUUCACUCAAUUCUUUUUUUUUUUUUUUUUUUUUUUUGUGGAUCGGGAAAUCAAAGACUCAUACGUUAUUAUACAGUUAUAGUUACUUUUGAUAGUAGGGAUUGCGAUCCUUUAGAGAAACUUAUUUGGUUGGCUUCUUCUUCUAUCACCAUCCAGGUAUUGCAACUUUUCUAAAUCUUGGUGAUGAAUUAUAGUUUGAAUCUUGUUUAUAGAUUGAGAUUUUGGGGCUGGAUUGACAGGAACUAGUUCAUUUAUUUGCUUGAUUUGAUAAUGCACAUCACUUGUUUGUUGAAAUGUCUAAGCGGAGAUCUUUGUUCAUGAUGAAAAUGGGUUCAUUAUUAUUGUUCUACACUUAUGUGUGAAGAUAAAAUUCAUAGAAGAAAUAGUGAAUAAGUGAUAUAAAGUAGUUAGAAUGAUGUUUGUUGAAUUGAAAAAAAAAUUAUGCUACUAUCGAUGUUUAUGAUUGCUUUAUCAUUCUUAAGUUUCUGUUCAUGAAUCUAACCUUUAUUUAAUUGCAAGAAAAAUUGAAAUAUGAAGUUGGUGUCUCAUGUCCGAGAUAUUGUACGGGUGCAAAUCACUUGAGGCGAGCACGUAGAGGCUGGAGCUCGACUCAUUUAACUUUCAGAAAGCUUGGGUUCCACUCGUUUAGAGUUUUAUUUUUAAGGCUUGUCAGAAGAUAAUGAAGCUUACUUUUGUAAUCAUACUCAAUAAUUUCAUAUCAAGAAAUGUUGUUUAAGAGCCAAGGAAUCUAGCAUGUCUCAAAAAUGAUGAACCAAAUCAAGAAUUAUCUACUUUAACCCAGUUGUUUGAACGUACACAUAAAUGGACGGAAGGACGUGCAUAUUUUCAUUAAUAUGGUGACACAAGGAAAAUUACUUUAUUGUAGAGGCGAUGCAAUACGUUGAUAGAAAUACAUGAUUCCAGAGGGGCUGAUGGAAUCACUUAAGGCAAACGUAAAAAGAUAUUAACAGCCAACAAGAAGACCUGGAAGCUAUGAUACAGGAAGGGUAAGGAAUCAAAAAGAAAAAUAGCUGAGCUUGAAGCUACGAAAAAGGACACUAUCAGCCAAACAAGUGGACUAAGAAGUUAUGAUACAGAAGGUUAAGGAACAACCAUCAGCUAGAGAUUAACAUGAGUAGAAUGUUUUCAUUACUCUUUGUUAUUGUAAUUAACACUUUAUGUCUAUAUUAUAAUUUAAGUUUGGACAAGUAUGUUAAAAUACACCAUUUGAUUAUCAAUGAUGUGUAUCUUGUUAUUGUUUUGGCGCGGUUGUAAUUGAAUGCGUAUGAUUAAAAUGGUAAUUGAAUUUAUGUUACAAGUUGCAUUUUGGU
rnacentral:lncRNA from 1 species